rnacentral:rRNA from 1 species
UCCUAUGUACCUCUCACUAAAUCACUUGAUCUUGUGAUAUCUUGGAGGCUAAGAAGUGUUGAGCCUGGAUGCUACUUGGAUGGGAGAAUCGCUGGGAAUUCCGGGUGUUGUAGGUU